CCCUUCUCUACUGAAAAUACAAAAAUUAGCUGGGCGUGGUGGCAUGCACCCGUAGUCCCAGCUACUCAGGAGGCUAAGGCAGGAGAAUUGCUUGAACCCGGGAGGCGGAGGUUGCAGUGAGCUGAGAUCGUGCCACUGCACUCCAGCCUGGUGACAGAGCAAGACUCCAUCUCAAAAAAAAAAAAAAAAAAAAAAAAAAAAAAAGAAAAGAAAAGAAAAGAAAGAGAUAAAGUUACUUUAGGCCAGUAAAUGUCCAUGUAGGUUCAGUCUAUGAAAACGAGCCCAAUUUCAGUGUGCAAUCCACCUUUCUUUUUUCUUACGGCACCUUAUUUGGCAUUGGUAUGUAUAGUAAAUAAAGAAAAAAACCAAUGUCAGAGUUUGAAGAGCCACCUAGUUUUACAUCUCGCUUUACAAGAGACAACUGGUGAUCAGAGAAGGUACCUGGAAAUUAAUACUUCUUGAAAACGGUUACCACCAUGGAGGGAGCUGCAUCUUCCAUUCUUACUAAUAGAAAAUGAUCGUUUGCUUUGAAGCAGUUAACGGAGAUACAUAAAAAACAAGAGAAGAGGAGAUGAGGAUGAAGAACCAGUAGUGACUUACAGUGCACAUGUGUUGUGAUGAUGAUUAAGUUUCAGUAUACAUCAUUCCACAUUUAUAGAUGAAUGUGCCCUGAACAGGAGAGAGGUUCCGCACCCAUUCUGGGAGUGGUGUCAUCAGUAUGGAACACUGCAUCACCAUGAAGGCAUGAGGUGUGAAAGUGUUGGGACACUCUUCUUUUCCUGCUCUUGGACAUCAGAACUCCAGGCUCUCCAGCGUUUGGACUCCAGGAUUUGCACCAGUGGUCCCAGGUUCUCAGUCCUCAAGCCUCAGACUUAGAGUUACAACAUCAGCUUCCCUGUUUUUGAGGCCUUUAGGCUUGGACUGAGCCAUGCUACUGUCAUCCUAAGGUCUCUAGCUUGCAGAUUAUCUGCCUGGGACUUAAACUUCGUAAUCAUGAACCAGUUCCCCUAAUAAAUUCCCUCUUAGGCAUCUAUAUCUCUAUCUGUGUCUACAUCUAUCUAUCUCUGAUAGGUUCUGUCUCUCUGGAGAAUCUAAUAUCUAUAUUAUAUUCACAAAUUUAAAUACGAAUGGCACAACUAUAUUAAGGUUACAUAAGUGAGGCUACAUACUGCAAAAUUCAAAAUAAAAUCAGUAUCCAAAAUUACACAUAAUUUAUAGAAAUUUUUUUGUAUUCUUCUCUAUAAAAUGGGGAUAACAUUAUCUAGGGCAUUGUAUUACUAUCAAAAUUAAAUAAGAUAUUGCAGGAGAGUAUUUAGAAGUGCUGGAUGAUGUUUCUAUUCUUGUUAUUGCUGAUUUUUUUUCUUAUUAUUAUUGAUAUUCAUAUAGUCAUCUUUAUGGAUGUUGGAAAGGCAUGGGACAUCAUCUGCUCCUGAUUAAAACACAAUUUUAUUUACCUAGAAAUAGAGGAAUUCUUCCUAAUCAUAUGUCCCAAGGAGCUACUACUUGUUUAUCAUGAGAACCUUGUACAGUGUCUGGCACAGAGUAGUUAUUCAAUAAAAGUUUGUUGAACCCAACGGAGCAUAACAGGCUUUUGUUUUCUUCAGAUCCAUUUGGAAAGAAAUGUAAGGAAAGAUUAACUAUUAAUGUUGAUUCAUCUUUCUCCGGUUUCUCUGUUAGUAAAGAUUUCCUCAAAAUGACCUUACAUCCUGAGUUUUCAAAACCUAAUUUUAAAUAUUAGUUCAAUUUCCCAACCCAUUAAAUUUUGCUUUUAUAAUGUUUGCUUUCAGUACUCAUGAAAUAUACAUUUUCAUAUUAUUUAUGAAACAUCCUUUUCUCCUUCCUUUUAGUAAUCUUAGGUAAGAAAUUGUGAAGGAAAAGAAAUAACUAAUUCAACUGAGUUACUCCAGUGACAACUUUCUGUAGAACUUUUUUCCUGAGAAAUUAUCAGAUUUGUAUAAGGAUUAUAUUUUUCAAAACUAAAUUUUAAUUAAAAAAUUACUCUAAGUUUAUAUAAAAUAUUUCACUAAGAAAUAUAUUGUAUAUCUUUAACUCUUAAGUCAACUCUUGUUAACAUGCUCUUAGCGAAUACAGAAUACGUUUAAGGGUAAACAGUAUUCCCAGCGAAAUAACACUGUCGUGGUUUCUUCUUAAGUUGUUAAGCAUUGCCACUAGAUGGCAGCAUCAACUUAUCAAUUAAGAUAACAAAAUUGUCUCAGGUUUCCUUUAUUAAUUGAAAGCAUUACUAAGAUGUUAGGCUUGGAAUUUUGGAGGGCCGUGAAGUCCAAAGUUUGUGUGUUAAGGUCUAUGCACAUUUAUUCCACAGGAAAGGACCGGAGCUUUCAUUAGAUCCUCCAAGUUAAUGGCACAUCAAUCUUUAAAAUUGCUGAUAUACUUUCACAUUCGUAUCUUUCGAUUUGUGAAACUAAAAUAUAAAGUGAGAAAAUAAAUUUCCAAUGACACGUAACAGAACUAUGGCAUAUCUUUUCUAGAAACACAUAGUUAAGAGCUUUUGACUCCAUCAUUGAACAUUCUUAAUAGCUCCUUAUAUCACAUAACGAUCAUAAAAAAAGGCAUAUCAUUAGCUGAAAAUACUUUCUAGUCUGUCAUUUGCUACUUUCCAAAUAAAUAAAAGUGAGUAAAAUAUGUAUAUUUUAAAAAUGACUGCUUCUACCUUUUAAUAUCGACCACAGAUUAGAAUGUUUAGAAUGAUUUGUAUUUUACUCUAAUUAUUCAGGAAUUUAAAAAUAUCUAAAAAGUAACUUACUUCCUUUUCAUGGGGUAAUACUUACAUAUUAAUAAUAAUGGUAAUUGUAAAAUGCUACUGUUAAUGGGGGUAUUGGAACACUCUUUAAGAGAAAAUAAUAUUAUAAAACUUUUUAGCAACAGGUGAUGUAAGCCCUUUAAAAAUUAUUUUAUUAAAAAAAACUUUGCAAAGUGGAAAUUAUUCUCAUUCAAGAGAUAAGAAAUCCUGAGGUUCAUAAUAGUGGAGUGACUUUCCUGAAGCUACAUGGGAGGAAAUGGCAGACACAGAUGUCAAAUUAAAUUCUGCUUGGUUCCCAAGCUCUUCUUUCUCUUUAUUGAAAUGUUCACAGCUUUCCUUGGCUAGGGGAGGGAGUUCCCCAACCCCUUUCGCUUCCCAGGUGUGGCGACACCCCACCCUGUUUCUGAUCGCCCUCCCUGGGCUGCACCCACUGUCUAACCAGUCCCAAUGAGAUGAGCCGGGUACCUCAGUUGGAAUUGCAGAAAUCACCCGCCUUCUGCAUUGGUCUCGCUGGGAGUUGCAGACCAGAACUGUUCCUAUUCAUCCGUCUUGCCUGGGAAUCUAGUGCUUCUUAAUUGUCAGCUUGUAUUUAAUAUUGGGGCAACUUAAGGCUGUUUAGAAAGAAUGGGUAUCUGAGUGAAGAUUGUACAUUUUAGGUUUCACGGUAGAGUGACUCACUGGGCCACUUCAUUGAGGAACUCUCAAAGUCAGCAUCCUAGUUCCUCUUUACACUUUCAUUGAGAUCUGUAAUCAAAUACGGGCAAGUUUUUAAAAACCAGAGCUUUCAUGUAAUGAAAGGUAUGUCUUUCUUUAAUCUCAGUAUUUUCACAAUGGACUCUUGAGGUGAUGUGUUUUCAGUGAGUUCAGAUUUACAUAUUGUUUCCGUAACAUUUUCAAAAUAUCUGAUAUCUGUUGGAAUACUCUAGGUUAUUCGUAAUGACCAACCAUCUUCCAAUUUCUGAGACUUUAAUAAAGAAAUACAUUUAUUUUUUCCUCACAGUACAUUCUCAUUUCAUGUUGGUGUAUUCCGUGCACAAAGACUUCAGGUAGUUGAACACUCCAUCAUGUGGAACUUUCCUCCUCAGUUUGGGAGGAAAGAGAAUAUAGGGACUCUUCUUUGCAUCUUCCCAAGAGUAACACAUACCUCUUCUGUUCAAAUUGCAAUGAUCAAAGGAAGUUUUACGGCUAUGCCUACUUCCAAUGGAGUGAGGAAAAGCAAUAAUUUGUAAUGCUGAGAUAUCAAGGGGAUAGGCAUAUCACAUAUUCAUUUAGACUAUGAAUGAUAGAUCUUCAUUAGUUUGUUUGGGACAUAUUUGCAGCUCAAGCCUUCAUCUUCAGAGAGUAACUAGAGCUAUUAACUCUUCUCUGUUAUUAAUGUCUAUAGAUUCCUCAACCACUAUAAGGAAGCAAUUUUGAUAUAAUAAUAUUUUGAAUUAGAGUUAUCUCCAUCUUAACAGGUAUA
rnacentral:lncRNA from 10 species